rnacentral:lncRNA from 1 species
UUGUCACAUUUAUUAACUAUUGCAAAUAUCAUGUUUUUCUGUAAACAGACACUCUUUUCCGGGCGUUGUUAAUACUCACGAUUGGAAWMGCUCUCCGUUUACCUUGCCUGAUUCUGCUGGGACACCCGGGGGAUUUUCCAAGGCUACGAGCACAGGACUGUGUGGUGGUCAUUGCCAGGCAGUGAUGCUGCAGUAGAAGAUACUCUUUCCUGUGGUUUACCAAUAAACCAGCAGGACACUUUGCUGCUAGCAGCCCUAUACUGCUGAGAAUUGUUUUUCAGAUCGUUGUAGCUCUCACGCACUUUGGACUCAUCUCGUGUGCUUGAUGCGGCUCGUUGCCUCUGGAUGCGCAGCAGGACAGAGGAAGCUGGUGAGCCUCUGACGCCGGUUGUUUUGCAUUUGAACUUUCUAGGUCCCCUCUUACCRUGAGUCUGACAGGCAAGGGCGGCUUCUGGCUGAGAUAUUUCAUAAACUUCUUGCCGAUUUCUUCACAGGUGUCGUAAGAAGGCAUCUGUGUAGAGAUCGUUUGUUGGACCUGGAGCUGGACUGGUYGGUAAAGGACCACAGAAGAUCUGUCCAUGUAGAAAGUGAGUUUAAUUGCUUGCUGCAGGUACCUGAAACUGAAAAUGCUUCUGCUUUGUGCAUGCUGAUACACACACCAUGGCCUCUCUGCCUCUUCAUGCAGAGCGGGUGAGCCAUAGUGAUUUGUGGAGCAGAAAGAACAGCUGCCUUGAACCUGAGCUUCGUGAAGUUUUUGUGACUCUUCCCAAGAGAAAUUCAAGGUCUUGGAGUUUGGUGACAUUGCCUGUAGGUGCGUCUGGUGCCUCCCUCUGCUUUGAGAAGUGCCAUGAAGACAGACGUCAUUCAUCUUCACCAUUGCUGGAACUGCCUGGCUAUUCAUGCCAGCUUCUAGCCUCAAAAUACUUUAGAAGUUCUUAUGUAUCUUUCUCUCAAAGCUUGCUUUUUCU